UGAUCCUGGCUCAAGAUGAACGCUGGCGGCGUGCCUAACACAUGCAAGUCGAACGGGGUAUAUAAGCGGAAGUUUACGGAUGGAAGGUUAUAUACUUAGUGGCGGACGGGUGAGUAACGCGUGGGCAACCUGCCCCGUGCCGGGGGAUACCGCCUGGAAACAGGCGCUAAUACCGCAUAAGCGCAUACAGCCGCAUGGGUGUAUGCGGAAAGCUCCGGCGGCACGGGAUGGGCCCGCGCCCGAUUAGCCAGUUGGCGGGGUAACGGCCCACCAAAGCGACGAUCGGUAGCCGGCCUGAGAGGGCGGACGGCCACAUUGGGACUGAGACACGGCCCAAACUCCUACGGGAGGCAGCAGUGGGGAAUAUUGCACAAUGGGGGAAACCCUGAUGCAGCAACGCCGCGUGGGUGAAGGAGCGUUUCGGCGCGUAAAGCCCUGUCAGCGGGGAAGAAGAAAGACGGUACCCGACCAAAAAGCCCCGGCUAACUACGUGCCAGCAGCCGCGGUAAUACGUAGGGGGCGAGCGUUAUCCGGAAUUACUGGGUGUAAAGGGAGCGUAAACGGNCGAGUAAGCCUGAAGUGGAACCCCGCGGCCCAACCGCGGAACUGCUUUGGGGAACUUGUUUGCUGGAAUCAUGGGAGGGGUCUAC
rnacentral:rRNA from 1 species